CACCAGCAGCCUUCCCUCGUCACCUGCUGAUCCCGGGGAGAGGAGCUAAGCCUGGCAGGGCCGCGGCCGCUCGCUGUCACCUUGUGCCAUCUCGGGGACACUCUUCCACUUUGCAGUUUUCCUUCCGUGUUUCUCUCUCUGUUUGUCCCCAGCAACCCUCGGGCGCUUGGCCGGUCUGAGAGCAAGGGCAGGGACCCUACGGAAACAGGUCACAGCUGAGCUGCGAGGGUGACAGUCACAUGGUGCCAGGCCGGGCCACCUUCCUGCUGAGGUUGGCACGAGGCGUCCUGCUCCCUGUGUUGGAGGGAGGUCCAGGGCCCGCACAGGGUGGGCUUCGGUCAGGUCACCCUCUGCCAGGGCUGUGUGUCUCAGGACAGAAGCCACUUUUUGAACCGCCUUGAUGUCACCUCUGGACUUUCCUUGUAGCUCUGUGAGCAAGGAGGUGGUGGCACGUGGGGACAGGAUGUCGCAUGGGGACAGGGACGCUGUAGACUGCACUUGGCUGGCCUCCGCUGGGUCUCAUCAGAAUCUCUCACACACACCCCCCACUGGGCCACCGCUGCCCGUCACCUUGACACUGCGGCAGAUGUCGGGGAGGGAGCGACGUUUAUUGAGCACCUACUGCAUGCCAGGCUCUGCACUGAGGCGCUGUGUGUUUUCUGGUUUAACCUUGAUAUAGGUGCAUUCCCUGGGUGGCGGAGCCCCGGGCAGGUCCUGGCCCCUGGACCCGCAGGACAGUGACCUGAGGCCCUGGGUUGGCACUGGGUUCCGUCCCCGGCACCAAUAGCAUAGAAUAAUAAAUAAAGUGCACGACCCAGUGACAUUUAGAACCAUGCUGUUGUGCAACCUGCACGUGGUCUAGUUCCAGAACAUUUCAUCACCCCAAGGAGCCCGGGUCCCACGGGCAGCCACACCCCAACUGUCCCUCCCCGCCCCUGGC
rnacentral:lncRNA from 1 species